UACGUAGGGGGCAAGCGUUGUCCGGAUUUAUUGGGCGUAAAGAGCGUGUAGGCGGUCAGGUAGGUCCGUUGUGAAAACUCGAGGCUCAACCUCGAGACGCCGAUGGAAACCAUCUGACUAGAGUCCGGAAGAGGCGAGUGGAAUUCCUGGUGUAGCGGUGGAAUGCGCAGAUAUCAGGAGGAACACCGGUGGCGAAGGCGGGUCUCUGGGCCGAUACUGACGCUGAGAAGCGAAAGCGUGGGGAGCGAACAGG
rnacentral:rRNA from 1 species